AAGAUUUUGUAUGAAGAUGAUCUAAGGGUAGAAGGCCUUCAAAUGUAGAGAUAGAAAAAAGAGUCAAUAAAGAUUUUGUUACUUGGUUUCCUACGCAGCUUAUGAACCCAGACAUUAUGAAUACUGUGCAUGAGGAUUUGAGAUACUUAGCAAGGGGUCCAUCACGAUAUGCCAAGAGGUUUUCUACAUUUAGUAUCAAUGGGUUCUCCUUUCGAACUACCAAUCGAGAUAAUGGGUUAAAGACCCAGAAUAGUGGAGUUUUCUUAAUGUCUUCAACUCCUUGUGUUGCUAGCGCUAGUGACGCUAAUGUUAAGAAUGCUGAUUUGUCAUAUUAUGGCAAAUUAGAAGAUAUUAUAGAACUAAAAUACAAUGGCCGAUUUUGGGUUACUUUAUUCAAAUGUAAAUGGGCUGACACCACUAGAGAAUGGGGCUGUAGAAAGGAUAGUUGAGGUUUUACUUCUGUUAAUUUUUUACGAGUAAUACACAGUGGUGACCGAGAGGAGGAUGAUCCAUAUAUUGAAGCCUCAGAAGCUCGAAUGGUGUAUUUUGUCAAUGAUGAAGUGAAUAAAGAUUGGAGUGUUGUCGUGCAUUUGAAGCCAAGAGACUCAUAUGAUAUGGGGGAAAUGAAGAUGAUGAAGCAUGCGAGAAUAAGCCAUGGUUAGAGCAAAACUUGGAUUCUUUAUUUGAAAAUGGUGAUAAUUUAUCAUUGUUAAGAGAUGAGGUAGAUGAUGAACUACUAGAUGAUGACAUUGGAGAAGACGAACACAUGUCAGAAUAGUUAAUAUGCCAAAGCAAAAGAGGUA